AUGCAGACAUUGUUAGUGCCACAAGCUACCAGAUCUGGAGACCGGGGAUCAGCACCAACUUCGAGGUCUUGCGCGGUGGCUGGAGGCGGCUGUAUGGACAGGUCCUUGACAGCAUCCUCGUGGCGACUGGAGGCGACUGCAGGGUCGGGGCCUCACCCACGACGAAACCAGGCUGAAGCUGCAUGCGCAUCGCGGGAGACAAAUCCCGCCGGCAGAGACAUUGGGCCAAGCUUCCCAUCCUCGACCUCAUCACCAUCGGCGGCGCACGAGGGAGCAGGACGGUGCUUGAGCUCCACCACGAACUCGUCGGGCACCGGGGGCAUCGCGGGGAUCCGGCCCGCCGGAGGCGGCGGGGAGGCGGGAGUCAGAUCCGCCAGGGCUGGGAGGAGCUGCGGGAGACCCGCGGAGCUCGGCGCCGGGGGCUUCAAUUGCUGGCAGGAGACGGCGCCGACAAGGGGAACCGGGGCGGAGCGCAACGACGCGGCUUCGGUGGUAGGCAAGGGCGCGCGCCGAUGA
rnacentral:rRNA from 1 species